GCUGUUCCCUCUAAACAUUGUCAUAUACUAUUCAAGGGGCUCCCAGGCCUUUCAUGCCACUUCCUCCCUUCAUAACUGGUCCUCAACAAUCCCGUGUGCUCAUCCUC